rnacentral:rRNA from 1 species
GUCUAUGGCCAUACCACCCUGAACAUACCCGAUCUCGUCUGAUCUCCGGAGCUAAGCAGGGUCGGGCCUGGUUAGUACUUGGAUGUGAGAAAGGAAAUAGAAAAACUAUAAUUGUCAUAAACU